rnacentral:rRNA from 1 species
UACGUAGGUGGCAAGCGUUGUCCGGAAUUAUUGGGCGUAAAGCGCGCGCAGGCGGUUUCUUAAGUCUGAUGUGAAAGCCCACGGCUCAACCGUGGAGGGUCAUUGGAAACUGGGGAACUUGAGUACAGGAGAGGAGAGUGGAAUUCCACGUGUAGCGGUGAAAUGCGUAGAUAUGUGGAGGAACACCAGUGGCGAAGGCGACUCUCUGGCCUGUAACUGACGCUGAGGCGCGAAAGCGUGGGGAGCGAACAGGAUUAGAAACCCCCGUAGUCC